UGCAGAAUUUGAACCACAAAAAUAUUGUGAAAUAUCUUGGAUCCUUAAAGACUAAGAGUCACCUCCACAUAAUUCUUGAAUAUGUGGAAAAUGGCUCACUAGCAAACAUUAUCAAGCCAAAUAAAUUUGGACCCUUUCCAGAAUCACUGGUUGCGGUUUACAUUUCACAGGUUUUGGAAGGCUUGGUAUAUCUACACGAACAAGGUGUAAUUCAUCGGGACAUCAAGGGUGCUAAUAUAUUAAC